CCUGUGGGGAGGUGGCGGUCAGUCACCCCCCGGCCUGGUGCCACCACAGGACCACAGAAGCCUGGGCUGCCCUCAGGCCCCACGCCUGCUCCUCGAGCAUCAUUCCUAGAGAGCCAUGAGGUCAGCCUCCGGCACUCAUGGUGGCCAGUCACCUGGGACCUUGCCCCAUGCAGCCAUCACUCAUUCACCACUGACCACAGGGCAGUAUCUGGGCCAUGUCACCGUUUGCUGCCAGUAGUUGGAAGCAGCAGUGGCCGGGAGACAGCGGAGGCCCAAGUCCUGCCCCUCCUCCUGCUGGGAGCUCUGCCACCUCCUGCCACCGGUGUCCCUUCUCUACAAUCCAGUUGCUGCCUGGGGUUGUGAUGAAGGCCGAGUGAUAGUUCCCCUACACCUGGGGUGGCCUCAGGUCCUCUGUCCCUCAGCAGCAGUGGUGCCAUCCCUGGGCCAAGGUGUGACUAUCUGGGGCCUUACUGAGGACACGUUGGACGUGCAGUUCUCCGGGGUGAAGAAUCAGGAAGGAAGCACGUGGGGAAAGAGAGGUGCAGACUCCGCCUCGGGACUCCCUCGCUGAAGCCUGAUGGGCACAGCUCUGCUGGGACACUGUGUCUAGCCAAGGGGGACAGAAGAGCCACCUACACUUGAGAUGGAGACCUCAGCUUAGAAUCUCUGACAUCUACUAAACAAAGUAUUUGGACUGAGGCCCAGGAGACCCUGAACUCCCUAAACCCACUGCCCACCCAAGUGUUGGGGGUCGAACCCAGGGUGUUCCCAUGGAUCCAGGCACCCAGCUUCUCAUCUGCCCUCUUCAAGGGACCUCUAAUAUGACAGAGGGAUCUUCCUUAAAACACAAGCCUGACUUUACACCCAGAGCCUACCAUGGCUCCCCAGUGCCCAGGAAAGAUCCUGGCUGCUUUGCGUGGCUGCAGAGCCCUGUGGGUGACUUGGUAUCGGCCUUGAAGCAAGGCCACAUCCUCUCUGCCUACCUCGAAGGUGACCUCAGUCAGCCCGGCCACAUGAGCAUGUGGAUCUCGCUCCUCAUUUUGGGCCCAGCUGACUGGCUGCUUCUCUCCAGCACACCAUGCCCUGGAUGCAUGGCACCCUCAGAAUGGACAACACAGAUGGUCUGACCUGUGAGGGUCCCACUGUGACCUUCCAGCUUUUCCCUGGGCUAGUGACAUGUGUCAGGAGUCUCCAGCAGUCGCCCUCUCCACUCAGCCCUCAAUGGAGAGCAUUAAAGGUCAAUGCUCCAUGGCACACUGUGGCUGUCCCAGCACCUGGCUCAGGGGCCUUGAACUUCUCCUUUACUGGGGACAGAACCCCAGGUUCUCGCAGGCUGACAAGCUUUGCCCAAGCAGCACCUCCUUCUCUAGGAUUCACUGCUGACCGGCAUCUGCCCGACUCCUUAACUGACCCCUACAUCUGCCCGACUCCUUAACUGACCCCUAGUGCACCUGUCCACACCCAGCUCCUCUGCACCUGAGCCCAGAGCUGUCAACCAGCUGUCACUCUGCCACACUGGAGAUGUCCCUUGGGGAGACCAGCUUGGCAUCCAGACGGGGAAAGCCACCUCUACCCAAUACGGCCCAGGACAGCCCCACCCUACAGGAGUGGGAGGUCAGCAGCGCAGGUGGAGACACCAAGACCAGCUCUGAGUCUGCAUCUAAAACGGUGGCCUCGGUGCUUGGGAGAAGUGUGCCAUCUAGGGCAGCGGUACUUGGUGGGAAGGAGCUGCUCAGCCUUGCUCGCUCUUCCACCUGCAGGGUGGGGCUCUGGUGAGGAUGGCUGGCUCACAGUGGCCCUCCUGGGGUAGCUGCCAGGACAGGUGUGCAGCAGCCAGGGGAAAGCAGUGCUUGGUUCCAGCUGGGCAGGUCUUUCCACCUUACCCACUGAAUACAGCACCCUGUUUUUACUUUUUGGA